CUCUUCUUAAUCUUCGCUGCUAUGGACGCUAAUCACUAAGUGAAUGUCUUCACGUGAGUGUUAUUUAGGGACUGAAGAUUUAAAAACCUUGUAAACGCUUCAUGUGCCAAUAUCUCCAAGCUAAGCAGUCCACGAUGAGAGAGUGGUGGGUCCAAGUUGGCUUGCUGUGCAUUCCGCUGAUUGCUGUCUACGUCCACAUGCCGCCGCCUAAGCUGUCGUUUGCCGUGCGCAGGUGGCAACACGCCGGGAAAACCUUCACCUUCAGGGGGAACAAGAUCUUCUACAUAGACACUCCUGGCACCUUGGGAAAUACCGACGUCGUUCUUCUCCUCCACGGCUAUCCCGCCUCGAGCUAUGAUUGGAGCAAGAUUUGGCAUCAGCUCACCCAACACUUCAUACGGGUAAUAGCACUGGACUUCUUGGGCUUCGGCUUAAGCGACAAGCCACUACCACACAACUACUCCAUCUUUGAGCAGGCCAGCGUGGUGGAAGCGCUGGUGGUAGAGUUGGGUCUGGCCAACCAGCGUAUCAACCUGGUGGCUCAUGACUACGGUGACACGGUGGCGCUAGAGCUGGUUUACAGGAGGGAUCAGAACCGUACAGGUCACCUGAACAUCAAAAGUCUUUGUCUCUCAAAUGGAGGCUUGUUCCCGGAAGUCAACUAUCCUCGCCUGCUGCAGAGGCUUCUCAAGGACUCCACGUACCUGGCUCCUAUCCUCCUGAGGAUCGGCAACUAUAUGUUCUUCAACAAUGGGAUGAGGGAAGUUUUCGGGCCGUACACGAAGCCGACGAACGCAGAGUUGUGGAACAUGUGGGUCAGUAUUCGCUACAAUGAUGGGCACCUUGUUUUGGACAGUCUUCUACAGUACAUCAAUCAGAGAAUAAAACACAGGGAGCGAUGGGUCGGCGCGCUCACUUCCACGUCCGUGCCACUGCACUUGAUCUACGGCCCAAUGGAUCCGGUUAACCCCCAUCCCGAGUUUAUCGAACUUUACAACCCACAGACGCCAGGAUGACGUCAACGACUGUUUCUUCGUCGCUUCGGACAGUCACUUGCAUGGUGACGCCGUCUGCCAGUGCAAGGCGAGCACGGACAAGCGUGUCGUGACUGCCCCGGAAAACACCUGUGAAAUCAGAAGGAAAAAAAAAUGUGAGUUUUAAUAUUUUUACAAAUUGAAUGGAAUUUUUUUGGGGGGGAGGGAAACUCGCCGGCAAGGAAGAGAACGUGCGAAUUUUUGUUUUCCGGUACUUUAUCCGAGCGCUCGCAUGGCUGCAUGCCCAGGAAGUUGACAAUGUUCUUCACUGCCUCUGUAAGAACAACACAUUGAAUUUAAAGACUCAAAACUUCCGACGAGUUUUCACAAGCUUACCGUCGAGCGUGCGCACUGACGCCAGAGCGAACGUCUCCUCCUUCUCAAACUCAUCUCCCACUUCUUCCCAGGCUGCUCCGAAGUUUGGCUUCAGCACCUUCUGGAUGUGGUCUGCCACAGUCACUUCCAGGUCCUCCAGCUGUGGCCAGCGAGAGGAAUGAAACAAGUGGUGGACAAACUGAUGGCACGCUGCUACUUACCACAUACUCAUCAUCGUAGCCGUCGUCGUCAGGCUCUCCCGUGUUAGGGUCGCAGUCUCGUACCAGGUACUUCAUUGUGCAGCUGAACGUACACGAAACUGCAAACGAGUGUCAUUGUCUGAAUGCCUCAAUAUCAGGAACUGGCCAAUCUGAUGUCCCUGUUCGUCCUACCUGCUGUCGGGUCGUCAUCGGGCAGGCUCACUAGCGUGUAGCAGGAGCCUGGCUGGCUGUACGCGAGGCUGGCGGCGGGAACGUAGUGAAGCACCUCGUAGGACUCCGAAGGCUCCAUUUGCACAAGAACCUGGAAUGCCGUUUGCGCUAUUAGUUGACAGCCAGUGAAGUGGAUUGUGCUUAACUGCAUAGUCCUGAACCUUCUGUAGAAGUUGGUCGUUUAGCGUGUUGGUGCAGUCGAACUGGAAGACCAUGUGCUUGGAAAAGGUAUGUUUGAUGCAGCGCACCACAUAUUCCGUCUCUGCUUCAGUAAGCUGCACCGGCUCGGCUGACUUGAAAAGCGGGCCAAGACCCUGGAACUCUGGGAUGGCUGCCAGUUGUUCUGAAGGUGAAAAAUAUCCAGUAGUAUCAAAAAAAAAAAAAAAUUCCUGUAGAAAAAUGCUUACCUUGAUAAAUAUCCUGGCGUGAUGGAGCCAAUUUCUCCGGUAGCUUGCUGGUCGACACUGGAGUGAUUUCUGAAAGGGAAGGACACAUUUAAAAGCGCUAAGCCAACCCAGAAUUUUCAAAUUCUGACUGACCUGUUUUCUGUUCUGUGAUAGGUGUGGUAGCUAGCGGAACAGUCUUCAUGUCGAACGGCGUCUCCGAAGGAUCCAGCGUAUAUUGGUGCAGUGACUUCUCCAAACCGGGAAUGGACACUGACAAGCCUGAACGCAACAUGAGAUGAAUGCAUUAGCACCACCCUGUUGAAGAUGAAGCGGAUGUACUUGGACGGCUGCGGGGUGCGUGGGCCCUCUUUGCCCAGCAGGUGCAAGAUCUUGGUGGCCAGCACCGUAUGCUCGCAGUCCUCGAUGAACUCGCACAGAUGUGCCAGGCCUGUUUCUUUGCUCUCGGGGUUCUCCUCAAUGAUGCCGAUGAUGCAGUCCACAAUGGCGCGCUUAUACUCAAAGCCACCCUUCAAAUAAAGAUGAGUGCUUUUUAAA